rnacentral:lncRNA from 1 species
CUUAAAAGAAGAAGAAAAGGGAAGAAAUGCUGAUAUAUUGCCUAAAAAAGACAGUGAACAGUUAAAAAGAAAAGAAAAGGAAUGUGGGAAAGAAGUUGAAACAACAACUCAAACAGACUCUGAAAUCACUGGUCACAGAAUUGAGGACAUUAGGAAAGAAUUUGGAUCAGGUUGUGCAGAAGCGAAGCGAUACCCACAAGCAACUUUCUGAAGAGCAGAAUGCCAGAAUAUUACAAGAUGAGAUUCUGACCAGUAAGCAAAAGGAGGUCGAAGGGGCUCAAAAGAAAAUGAAUUCUGAGAUUUCUCAAAGCCAUGAGAAAGAAGAAGACCUGUUGCAUAAAAAUAGUAUGUUGCAGGAAGAAAUUGCCAUGCUAAGACUGGAACUAGACACAAUAAAACAUCAGAACCAGCUGAAAGAAAAGAAAUAUUUGAAGGAUGUUGAAAGUGUGAAAUAAAAGAAUGACAACCUUCAAAAUAUGAUAAAACUGAAUGAGGAAACAUCAACAAAAAUAGUAUUUCAGUACAGUGGACAGCUUAGCAUUUUGACAGCUAAGAAUAAAACUCAGUUCUCAACUUGAGAAUGUAAAACACAACAUGGAAAGACUGGAAAUGGAAAUUCAGUCAUAUCGAUGCAGGCUGGCUGCUGCCGUACAUGAUUGUGAUCAAAGUCAGACAGCAUAAGAAAACCUAGAACUUGCUUUCCAGAGAACAGGACAUGAAUGGGUUCAUUUACAGGAGAAAAUGAAUUCUGAUAUGUCUAACCUAAAAGAUAACAGAUUGUUUCUGAAAAAACUCUCUAAUGCUGACAGUAAAAUUAACAGCCUAAAAAUUAAGUUUCAUCAUGCAAGAGAAACACUCAGAGAAAAGACGUCAGUUUUAGAAUGUUUCCAAAGAGACCUUGGCCAAACACAGUGUCAAAAGAAAGAAAUUGAACGAAUGUAUAAAAAUGAACAAAGCAAAGUAAAUAAAUACGCUGAAGAAGCAGGAAUCUAUAGAGGACAGAUGUGCUCAACUACAAAGUGAAAAUAGGUUGCUUCAACAGCAACUGGAUGAUGCCCACAAGAAAGCUGACAAUCAAGAAAAGACAAUCAGUACUAUCCAAGACCAAAUCCAUGCCGUUGUAAAAAAAUCUAGCUGGGAGUGAAAUGCAGAGUCUUCUGCUAGAAGAGAAAAACAAAGACUUAAUCAAUGU